UGGGGAAUAUUGCACAAUGGGCGCAAGCCUGAUGCAGCCAUGCCGCGUGUGUGAAGAAGGCCUUCGGGUUGUAAAGCACUUUCAGCGGGGAGGAAGGCGAUAAGGUUAAUAACCUUGUCGAUUGACGUUACCCGCAGAAGAAGCACCGGCUAACUCCGUGCCAGCAGCCGCGGUAAUACGGAGGGUGCAAGCGUUAAUCGGAAUUACUGGGCGUAAAGCGCACGCAGGCGGUCUGUCAAGUCGGAUGUGAAAUCCCCGGGCUCAACCUGGGAACUGCAUUAGAAACUGGCAGGCUAGAGUCUUGUAGAGGGGGGUAGAAUUCCAGGUGUAGCGGUGAAAUGCGUAGAGAUCUGGAGGAAUACCGGUGGCGAAGGCGGCCCCCUGGACAAAGACUGACGCUCAGGUGCGAAAGCGUGGGGAGCAAACAGG
rnacentral:rRNA from 1 species